UUCCCUCUGGACACCUCCUGUACCCAAAGGGGCAGGGAGCAUGACCACCUGACAUACAGUCUGUUCCACAUGUUUGGGUCAGUCUGUAUAUUAAAUAUCAGUACAAUUUAAACUCUAUCUUAUUUUUAGAGUUACAAUAUAGAAGUGGUUGUUGUUUUUCCCAUCUAGUGGAUUUUUUGUGGACCCCUUGAUGCCAUUCAUUAGAGACCACUGGGGAGCCCACGAGCCUUUGGAGUCAAAAGAAAGAAAAAACAAAGAACUUAGAAGACUGACUUAACCUCUCUGAGCUUCAUUUUAUUCUUCUUUAAGAUGCCCAUCGCCCAUCUGUUUGUGGAAUAGCAAGUGGGAGAUGAUGCAGUGUGGCUGCAUCAUGACUGCUGCUCUCCUUGCUUGGCGUUGACACCUUGUGCCCUGAUGGAGCCCCACACAAACCAACCUUUAAUGUAUCUGCAACCGCUGUUAGGAGUUGGGUUGUGGUCUCCCAAAUCUCCAUCUUCUUGAUGUGGCAAGAUUGAAAGUGGUACUGGAAGUAGUGAUAUUUUUCAACAACUCCUGAAGGCUCAGUUGAAAGCUUGAUUCUCCAGUCCUUUCAGUUAUGUUGUAAUUCAGAGAAGGCUUCUUUAAGGUAAGUGAAGAACAGAGGGACAAGGAAUGGACUGUGCAAAGGCCCUGUGACAGAGGGAGAAUGACAAGAAAGAGGGACUGAAAGCAGUCCAAGGUGACAGCAGCAGAGAAACUGCAGGAAAUCACGGUGUGGGCUGAUGCUAAAGACGUGUGUGGUGGACCAACCACGCCAAGUCCUGAGAGCCACUGAAAAUUUUCCUUGGGACAUUAGACUUUCCGGUUUGCCUCUGUCUCCUGCACUGGACUGUGAACUACACGAGGGCAGAUACUAGGUCUUAGUUAGUAAAGCUCCUGCAGGCAAUCAAGUUUCUGGCAUGGCAGCCACUCAAAU
rnacentral:lncRNA from 1 species